rnacentral:rRNA from 1 species
CCUCGGGGGGCAGCAGUGGGGAAUUUUGGACAAUGGGGGCAACCCUGAUCCAGCCAUGCCGCGUGCGGGAAGAAGGCCUUCGGGUUGUAAACCGCUUUUGUCGGGGAAGAAACGGUCUGCGCUAAUACCGCGGGCUAAUGACGGUACCCGAAGAAUAAGCACCGGCUAACUACGUGCCAGCAGCCGCGGUAAUACGUAGGGUGCACGCGUUAAUCUGAAUUACUGGGCGUAGGGCUUGCAAGACAGAUGUGAAAUCCCCGGGCUUAACCUGGGAACUGCAUUUGUGACUGCAUGGCUGGAGUGCGGCAGAGGGGGAUGGAAUUCCGCGUGUAGCAGUGAAAUGCGUAGAUAUGCGGAGGAACACCGAUGGCGAAGGCAAUCCCCUGGGCCUGCACUGACGCUCAUGCACGAAAGCGUGGGGAGCAAACAGGAUUAGAUACCCUAGUAGUC